AAGACUAUAUUUUGAGGGGUCAUUUUUAUAGUUUGUUACUAGAGAAAUUUCUCUGAUCAUGCAGGGCACCAAAACCAUAAGGAAGAGUCAGAGUAUUCUCUCCUGAGCGUGAAACCAGAUCUAGGUGUUGUUUCUGUACCCGCCUUUGACCAUUAAUGAUCGUUCUUAUCCUCUUUUGAAAGAAUGAGAUGGAGAAAAUACAGCCUGGUGGU